UGCCAGCAGCCGCGGUAAUACGAAGGGUGCAAGCGUUGUUCGGAUUUAUUGGGCGUAAAGAGCAUGUAGGCGGACGCAUAAGUCUGGUGUGAAAUCUCAGGGCUUAACCCUGAAACUGCGCCAGAAACUGUGUGUCUAGAAUCCCAAAGGGGGAAGGGGAAUUUCUCGUGUAGGGGUAAAAUCCGUAGAGAUGAGAAGGAACACCAGAGGCGAAGGCGCCUUCCUGGAUGGGUAUUGACGCUGAGAUGCGAAAGCGUGGGGAGCAAACAGGAUUAGAUA
rnacentral:rRNA from 1 species